GGCCUACGGGGAGUGGAGGUAGGGGACGGCAGCUGGGCAAGCGGUCCUUUGUGCUCCACAGACCCUCCUUUCGGCGCAUCCCACUUCCGCGGCCUUGCGAGGUGCUCCCCACUCGGUGGGUCCGGUCCUAGAGGAUGGAAGGGGCCUGACCCUACAGCCCUGGAGGGGCCCCGAGUAGACGACCGCACGCGGCCUGAACCACCAUUCUCGUCUAAGGGCCCAUGGGCGCGUCCCCGCGGUCGGGCGGCGGGCGGGAGAGCGGCGAGCAGCGAGACUGCGACGCCGAAGAAAACCGUGCUUGGGCACGGCCGCGCACCGGUCGCGCGCGCGCGCUCCCGCCGCAGCGCUGGGCGCACCCGCCCCGCCUCUCGGAGGUGGUCCGAGAGCCAGGUCCGCGAACGGCGGCUGUGGCCGGAGGGACGAUGAGCAGUGCGGCGCGGACGGGCCCGGCCCGGCUCGCCGCACUCACGCUGCUGACCUGCAGCCUCUGGUCGGCGCGGGCAGACAACGCAAGUCAGGAGUACUACACGGCGCUCAUCAACGUGACCGUGCAGGAGCCCGGCCGCGGCACCCCGCUCACGUUCCGCAUCGACCGCGGGCGCUACGGGCUCGACUCGCCCAAGGCUGAGGUCCGCGGCCAGGUACUGGCGCCGCUGCCCAUCCACGGAGUUGCUGAUCAUUUGGGCUGUGAUCCUCAGACCCGUUUCUCUGUCCCUCCUAAUAUCAAGCAGUGGAUUGCCUUGCUACAGAGGGGAAAUUGCACAUUUAAAGAGAAAAUAUCACGGGCUGCUUUCCACAAUGCAGUUGCUGUAGUCAUCUACAAUAAUAAGUCCAAAGAGGAGCCAGUCACCAUGACUCAUCCAGGCACUGGAGAUAUUAUUGCUGUCAUGAUUACAGAACUGAGGGGUAAGGAUAUUUUGAGUUAUCUGGAGAAAAACAUCUCUGUACAAAUGACAAUAGCUGUUGGAACUCGAAUGCCACCAAAGAACUUCAGCCGAGGCUCUCUAGUCUUCGUGUCAAUAUCCUUUAUUGUUUUGAUGAUUAUUUCUUCAGCGUGGCUCAUAUUCUACUUCAUUCAGAAGAUCAGAUAUACAAAUGCACGCGACAGAAACCAGCGUCGUCUUGGAGAUGCAGCCAAGAAAGCCAUCAGCAAAUUGACAACCAGAACAGUGAAGAAGGGUGAUAAGGAAACAGACCCAGACUUUGAUCACUGUGCCGUCUGCAUAGAGAGCUAUAAGCAGAAUGAUGUUGUCCGGAUUCUCCCCUGCAAGCAUGUUUUCCACAAAUCCUGCGUGGAUCCCUGGCUUAGUGAACAUUGUACCUGUCCUAUGUGCAAACUUAAUAUUUUGAAGGCCCUGGGAAUUGUGCCAAAUUUGCCAUGCACUGAUAAUGUAGCAUUUGAUAUGGAGAGGCUCACCAGAACCCAGGCAGUUAACCGAAGAUCAGCCCUAGGUGACCUCGUCAACGACAACUCCCUUGGCCUUGAGUCACUUCGAACUUCGGGGAUCUCGCCUCUUCCUCAGGACGGAGAGCUCACUCCUAGAACGGGAGAGAUCAACAUUGCAGUAACAAAAGAAUGGUUUAUUAUUGCCAGUUUUGGCCUCCUCAGUGCUCUCACACUCUGCUACAUGAUCAUCAGAGCCACAGCUAGCUUGAAUACUAAUGAGUGGUCACUUCUUUCAUCGAAGCUCUUUGUCCCCUCGGAGCCUGGUGUAUGAAACUGAAUUCUCCACCAUCGAACCUUCUUUGGACAUCAUCUGUUUUGGAAGAAUGGCAACGCUUUCCAAGCUCAGUUUGGGGCUCGCGGUUAAAUUGAAUAGUUCCCCUAAGCCUUGGCAUCAGCAUGAAGAAGGCAGAGGAACUUACAGAAGAAGAUGUGGUGGCCAGCAUAGUGCGCAUCUGGAACACGUGCUCUUCCCACACACCUGGGAUGACAGCAAGUUAACAUCACAAGAAACAUGCAUCUUAAGAGUAAUCUCAGCACAGAAACAUGAUGAGCAAAUGUAUGAAACAAAUCUAAGCAUCCUUUUUGCUCAAGGACACACCCUAGUUCAGCCUGUUUCUUCUAGUGACAUGAGCCACAAAGAGGUGUGAAUGUGCUCAGACCCUCUGAUCCUUGUUAUGAGAAUGGAAACCUCAGUCUCCACAUACCAAGAGUUAGACCCAGAAGCAAACCACACAGACCCACAUAUCCACAUGCUGCUGUUUUUAUUGACCCUAUAGGACAAUUUGAGGAGAACACUUGCCCUUUUUCACGUGCACCGGCUUCUCUUUAACAGCGUCUCUGCUUGUGGUUGUUCUAAGAUGUCUCAGACACAGUUAUGCCUAGAACAAAAACCCUCACAGAACCAGGGUGGUAACAGCCUUUAGGAUCAUCACUUCUGUGACCAGCAGCAUUUUGUUUUUAAUCAUUUGAAGCUGGAACAGUGCAGAUUUUUAAGGUCUUAGCAGCUUUUUCUUUUUACCUUUAACCAAGGGCUUUUGUUUGUUUUCUUUUUAUAGUCCUUGCACUAUGAAAAUAUUUUUUAUAAAAAACGGUUUCAAGAGAGCACUGUUCAUAGACAGGUUUACCACUGGCUUGCGGUGAGAAAAUUGAGUUAAGGAGUUUAAACUCGGACUGUCAGGGGCUCCAGACUUGAACCGACGUUUAUAUUUGGAUUGGCUCUUCCCACAGGGAAGAGGGCCUGGUUCUGACCAUGUUAUCCCCACCACAACCUUGCUUCCCUGAACCAGAAUUCAGAUCCCAACACAGAAUUUUCUUCUGACUUGUACAGUCUUACAAAAUUCACAUUAAAUUUCA